rnacentral:rRNA from 1 species
GACGAGCGCUGGCGGCGUGCCUAACACAUGCAAGUCGAGCGAAUGAAGUUCCUUCGGGAAUGGAUUUAGCGGCGGACGGGUGAGUAACACGUGGGCAACCUGCCUCAUAGAGGGGAAUAGCCUCCCGAAAGGGAGAUUAAUACCGCAUAAGAUUGUAGUACCGCAUGAUACAGCAAUUAAAGGAGCAAUCCGCUAUGAGAUGGGCCCGCGGCGCAUUAGCUAGUUGGUGAGGUAAUGGCUCACCAAGGCGACGAUGCGUAGCCGACCUGAGAGGGUGAUCGGCCACAUUGGGACUGAGACACGGCCCAGACUCCUACGGGAGGCAGCAGUGGGGAAUAUUGCACAAUGGGGGAAACCCUGAUGCAGCAACGCCGCGUGAGUGAUGACGGCCUUCGGGUUGUAAAGCUCUGUCUUCAGGGACGAUAAUGACGGUACCUGAGGAGGAAGCCACGGCUAACUACGUG